GGCUUCAGCUGUGUCUGGGGUGCUCUGCAGCUGAGGGGGAGAAGGAGCUGGGUUCUCAGGAGUUUCCUCCGUUUCUCCUUCUGGGUCUGCUGCUUCUGGGUCUGCUGCUGUUACUCCCGAGUCAUCCUCAUCUGAUGAGUCCUCUGACGGGGCCAUGACAAGAAGAAGGAGGUGGCGUCCUGGAUCGGGUCAUCUGAGCCAUGUCAGCGGGGAACGCGGAGCAGCGAGAACAUGGGGCCUCGGGAGGGCGUCGCAGCAAAUGGGACCAGCCUGGACCAUCUCCGGCUCUCUUCCUUCUUCCUGCAACCACUCCUGCGGCGGGCCACCCUGUCCAGGGCAGCGGAGACAGUGUAUCUGGGAUGUCAGGGUCUGAGGGCUCAGCGGCCCCUCUGGGAGCUCUGGAUGCAGCUGCUGCAGUAGCAGCCAAAAUCAAUGCCAUGUUAAUGGCCAAAGGGAAGCUGUAAUCAGCAGACAAGAUCAAAGAACGUAAUUAGCCCAUUAUAUCAAUUUUGGGAAGAGGUGUGUGCUGAGGACCUCAUCGAGGCUACAGGCGCCACUAAUGAGUGCAAAGGUGAAGAGGAAGAUGACUUUUUGAAAGGCGAAACUCCUCAAAAUGAAGGCAUGAUUGGAUUGAUGCCAGGCUCCUUCGACUCUACUCUUCAGAGUUCAGAACAUUGCCUAGGGUCGCCGCCAAUAAUCUCUCUAUAGAUGCCACUCUGAAGAAUGCCCUCCCCAGUGAUGGUCACCUAUCUCCCUCAUUAUUGACUCUCAGGAAAAAUUUAAAAAAUAUUCUUGUUUACCUAGGCAUUUGAUGGCUGAAAAAUACUGAUCCAGGCAACUCUGAAAUCAUCAGGUGAGAGAAUGUGAUGGUUUUUAACUGUUUUUAUAAUGUUUUUAAUGAUAUUGUGCUAUUGAUAUGUUUG